CCUUCGGUAGCUCAACUGAAAGAGCGUGGGACUAUAACAGAAUGUCUGCGAUAUCCCAAGGUUGCUGGUUCGAUUCCAGUCCCAAGGA